UAGGGAAUCUUCGGCAAUGGGGGGAACCCUGACCGAGCAACGCCGCGUGAGUGAAGAAGGUUUUCGGAUCGUAAAGCUCUGUUGUUAAGGAAGAACGAGUGUGAGAAUGGAAAGUUCAUAUUGUGACGGUACUUAACCAGAAAGGGACGGCUAACUACGUGCCAGCAGCCGCGGUAAUACGUAGGUCCCGAGCGUUGUCCGGAUUUAUUGGGCGUAAAGCGAGCGCAGGCGGUUAGAAAAGUCUGAAGUGAAAGGCAGUGGCUCAACCAUUGUAGGCUUUGGAAACUGUUUAACUUGAGUGCAGAAGGGGAGAGUGGAAUUCCAUGUGUAGCGGUGAAAUGCGUAGAUAUAUGGAGGAACACCGGUGGCGAAAGCGGCUCUCUGGUCUGUAACUGACGCUGAGGCUCGAAAGCGUGGGGAGCGAACAGG
rnacentral:rRNA from 1 species